CUUUUGCUCAUUACGACUAGAUAUCUCAUCCAUCCACAAUACGACUCUACAACCAGAUAUAGGAAAAAGAAAGCCAAAGAGUUGAAAUUUCGAACUUCUUAAAUCCCUGGUCCAGAUGCACCGCACCUCCUGUGGCAUCUUCUCACGACCUCUUCGUAGUUUGGCUCAUUUUCUGGCGACACAAAUCCAUGCCUUAUCAGAAAAUCGACCGUGACAAUGGCUGACGAAGGCUUGAACUCUCCAUUUCGAAGAGCCUUUAUAAGUUGUUGUACUGAUAGGAGCUAUAUGCGCUGUAAGCAGUAAUCGUUCGGCAGAUAAGAAAGGUGCAUACUUCGAAAGAGUCCACUUCAUCAUCGUUGGGCUUGGGCAGCACAUAAUCGGAAGAGUCUCGACAGGGGAGAGGAAGAUCAUAAGUGUACCUUCAAACAUCGGGAUCAUUUGGUAAAAUGUGUUCGUCUUUAAUCUCGAAAUAGGUCACGAUACCUGCGCUCCUGGUGGUUUUAUGGCCCUCAGCAUUUCUGUGUUGAUCAUUUAUGCUGCCACCUACCUGGCAUAUUUCCUGAUCAACUUUUCUGGCUAGCCUGCUUCUUCCUUACAUUCUUUGAUAAGACCUUGUAUCGGGGUAUGGCCUGCCGGAAGACCACCGGCAACGCUCUAUUCAAUCAAGAGCAUCAGAUUGACAGGGUAGCAGGAAAAAAUGGUGCUAACACUGUCAUAUUUGAGAGGGCAACUUUAACGAUUAGCACUUCUACGUGGGAUCCAAACCUUCAUGUUUUCUCCUUGACCUUCGUAGGCGUAUCGUACUUGGUCAAUUCGAUUUCUUGAUUCAAGAGACAACGUACCAGUGAGGUGGACACCAAAAGCUUGGCAUCCAAACAAGGAUACUCCUGCUCUCUCCAUUUCGAAAGCAAUAUUGCCAAAAAGCUCACGGGUUGCCGGUUUGCUGGCGUUGAACAUGGAAGAUUUUGGCGAAGCAUAGAUGGGAAACAUCUCAUCCAUCCAGACUGAUGAGGGUUGUGAAUUACAAGUGAAAAUAGACAAUGGGGAAGGCAACCUACGUUUCAUGGCUUGUGGAAACUUUCCUUCCGCCCUCCAGUCACUGAGAAUCCUCGCUAUACACUCGGUCCUUCCUUUCUUACCUCUGGCGUUCACUUCAUCUGUAAAGUACAAAAAUUUUACAGUGAGUUUGAAUGUUUUCUUCAUUUUCCCUCCACCUUGUUCUUUCUUUCCGCAGUUGCCGUCAGGGUAUGCUUUGCAGUUACCCUCCUUACCGGCCUGGGAACAGCGUAUAACUUCCCUUGCGAUCUGGAACAAUUUUAUUCCUUUUUCUUUGCUCAACAUCUUCACGACAUCCAUGGUGACAAGUCCCACCGGUGGCAGACCAUGUUGAAAGUCCUUGAAUGUGAUAUGGAAUGGGACAAUCGGCCUCUUAGCUAGGGGGUAGACCGUUGGGAAAGGAGAAGUGUAGGCAGGCAAAUUAUCAGCCUGCAAAAGGAUAGGAAGAAGAGAUGUGGUGUCUAGUGCUGUGAUGGAAUUUGAUAUGCGGAGGGAUUAAGAGGUGGAUAAAAUUCUAACUCAAUUUUGAUGGCAUUCUCUUUAGUAUUUCAGGAAAGAAGAUCAGACUUGUUACAGACGACAAAGGUCGUCAAAGGACGACAAAAAAGGAUGUCACUGGUAAAUAAAUGGAGGUGUGGAUAUAUAUUUUUCAGAUGUACCACGUUAUCAGAAGCUGAACGUGGGCUCGAGCACUUGAAAGUACUGCUCUCUUCCUCAGUAAUAAUGUCUAUCAACGUAUUGGUACUUGUACUCUAAAAGCGAGGAAGCUGGAGUUUCAUCAUCCCUAUGCCAGACUUAUCCUUAUGCAUUUUUAC
rnacentral:sRNA from 1 species